UACGGAGGGUGCGAGCGUUGUCCGGAAUCACUGGGCGUAAAGGGCGCGUAGGUGGCGCGGGUAGUCGUCGGUGAAAGCUCAGGGCUCAACCCUGAGUCGGCCGGUGAUACUCCCGUGCUUGAGUGUGGUAGAGGCCAAUGGAAUUCCGGGUGUAGCGGUGGAAUGCGUAGAGAUCCGGAAGAACACCGGUGGCGAAGGCGGCUAUCUGGACAGAGUCUGACGCUGAGGCGCGAAAGCUAGGGGAGCAAACAGG
rnacentral:rRNA from 1 species